AUCUCUGUGCAGUGGCAGUAUCAUAACUCAUGAGGCUUAUCUGAGGAAUGAUUAUUGCUAAUUGAAAACUUUACCCAAUACCUUGCCUUGAUGACUUGAAAUAGAGUCAGCUAUGGCAGUUUUUGAUAGUGUCCGUUGAGA